rnacentral:lncRNA from 1 species
AAAGAGCUUGGGUUGGCCUUUUAAUGAACCAUCCCCCCUAGGCUGGCGCUUCUACUCUACCACUACAUAGUCAUGCUGGACCUUACAGAAACGAAACUCGAUCAACAACAACAAAGCCGUGGAACCAACCAUCAUUAUUUGCCAAAUCGCAUGUCGAGUGGGGAUUCCUUUCAGGAUUAUGUAGCCAAUUCUGAUCUGCAACCUUGGUUGGGUUUAUUACUAUUGUAUAAGGGAAGAGGGUGGGUGCUAUUCGCUAACUUACUUCCCGCUCUUUUCUAUACAAUAAUUUCCCACACAUUUGGCCUUCUUUUUCUCGCUCAAACAAUAAUAACUGCUCAUCAUUAUUACUCGAGAAAGUCAUUAUCACGUAAAUUGUCACUCCAGCCUCGUCUAGUCCAUAGUAGCGUUCAUUCUAAUA